rnacentral:lncRNA from 1 species
CGCCAUUCACACUCAACAAGAGAAUAACCUCCUCACUCUCAGAGCUGUCCCUCAGCCACGAACGAAACUUCAACCCUGAUUUUCCAUAUCAUCCUCGUCAUUAUCAGCAUCAUCGUACUCCACGGCCACCUCUACAGUCUCCCCUGACCACCUGCUCCGAUGAGCUGGUCACCUACGUCUUCCCUAUAUCGCCUCUUUCCCCAAUAACAUUACGGAAAUCCCUCCACCUUAAUGCUGAAAUGACGCCUCCGUUACUCUUGCCUCCAAUUCAGCCGUUUUACUCUUUUACUUGGUUCAUCAGCCUGGAAUUCUCGAAUUUCCGCUGAACUCUACGAAGCUGAUGUCUCUCUCUUCUGCCUGUCCGGAGAAGCUUCAUGGAUCCAAAGCGCCAAUUUCUCUUGAGUCUCUCUAAUCAGGUUCGAAUAUAUAUAUACAUACUCCGUGGUGUCAGUUAGCUACUGAAAAGUUGAAUAUUUCUAGAUUUAUGACUUUGUUUAAUUCGGAGCUGUUUAGCUAUAUCUAACAUUUGGUCAAUUGAUAGAAAUUUUGAUUUAUCUUUGCUUGAUACAUGAACAGAAGAUGGAGAAAUAUGCACUCUGUUUGGGUUUGUGAAUGGAUGUAUUGAAUUGAAAAAAUUUCCUUCAUUUAUUUGAUUUCUUUCGAGUUUGUAACUAAUUUACCUGAAUUUUUAGAAAAGCCAAAUAUUUUAUAAAGGACUUCUUAAGUAUGAAAUGAAAAAUGACUAAUUUUGGUAUUUGCUUGAAAUAUCACAAAGUUGAAGAUUUAGCAGCUUUAAUGUCAGGUGUUCGACUAGUUUUCUUCAAGCUUCACUAUCUCUUGGAACAGAGUGGAAGAAACGAGUGUUUGUUUUGUUGUCUUAUGCAUACUCGAUGAUUCUAUGUUUUGUCGAGUUGACUACUCAACCUUCGUAUAGCUUGAUCAACUUGUUGAUUUUCAUAGCAAUCUUAUCU